rnacentral:rRNA from 1 species
UACGUAGGGUGCGAGCGUUGUCCGGAAUUAUUGGGCGUAAAGAGCUCGUAGGCGGUUUGUCGCGUCUGCCGUGAAAGUCCGGGGCUCAACUCCGGAUCUGCGGUGGGUACGGGCAGACUAGAGUGAUGUAGGGGAGACUGGAAUUCCUGGUGUAGCGGUGAAGUGCGCAGAUAUCAGGAGGAACACCGAUGGCGAAGGCAGGUCUCUGGGCAUUAACUGACGCUGAGGAGCGAAAGCAUGGGGAGCGAACAGG